rnacentral:snRNA from 1 species
GGAUGUGAGGGCGAUCUGGCUGCGACAUCUGUCACCCCACUGAUCGCCACGGUUGAUUCGGCUGAUCUGGCUGGCUAGGUGGUGUCCCCUCCCUCCCUCACUGCUCCAUGUGCGUCCCUCCCGAAGCUGCGUGCUCGGUCGAAGAGGACGACCACCCCUGAUGGAGGAGGACCGUUUCCUUGGUCAAGGGUAUCCGAGUAGCUGCACUCCCCUGCUAGAACCUCCAAACAAGCUCUCAAGAAUAACCAAGGGUUGUUCACCAUCCCAGGUGAAUCUCAUCGUGG